rnacentral:lncRNA from 1 species
UGAUCUGAUGGGUUCUGCCGACUGCAUGGAACUUAUCCACUGCUUUUGGCCACUGUUCACACCGCCGGUCGGCUAUAAUCCCAUCCACAUUAAUGCAUGGCAGAUAUCUCGGUCAACUGUCAUACUAUAUCAUCAUUACAAGUCAAAGAUGUAGAUAUUUAAAUAUCUGAUGGGUCGACUCACUGAUUUGGUCUGAUAUUAGAAGGACUUAACAAAGAUAAUAAAAUGACUAGGCCCAAUAAUGUCAACACCCAAUAGUGAAGACCCAAUGGACUAACUGAAUAAGUAGGCCCAAUCCAUUCGGCCCAAAGGGAGAAAUAUCACGACCCAACA